CCUACGGGAGGCAGCAGUGGGGAAUAUUGGGCAAUGGAGGCAACUCUGACCCAGCAACGCCGCGUGAAUGAAGAAGGUCUUCGGAUUGGAAAGUUCUUUACUAAGGGGCGAAAAAAGUGACGGUACCUUAGGAAUAAACCUCGGCUAACUACGUGCCAGCAGCCGCGGUAAUACGUAGGAGGCAAGCGUUAUUCGGAAUGACUGUGCGAAAAGGUGGCGUCGGUGGUUUGGCAAGUUAGCAGCGAAAACCCGGAGCUUAACUUCGGUACUAAUUGUAAAAAUGGUGGAAGUGAGUGCAGGAGGGGCAAUCGGAAUUCCUAGUGUAGCGGUGGAAUGCGUAGAUAUUAGGAGGAACACCAGUGGCGAAGGCGGAUUGCUAGACUGUAACUGACACUGAGGCACGAAAGCGUGGGGAGCAAACAGGAUUAGAUACCCCUGUAGUC
rnacentral:rRNA from 1 species